rnacentral:pre_miRNA from 1 species
CAAGUACUCCCUCCGUCCGGAAUUACUUGUCAUCAAAAUGGAUGUGUCUAGAACUAAAAUACAUCUAGAUACAUCCAUUUCAAUGAUAAGUAUUUUCAGACGGAGGGAGUACAAG